GACGAACGCUGGCGGCGUGCUUAACACAUGCAAGUCGAACGAUGAACCCGGAGCUUGCUCUGGGUGAUUAGUGGCGAACGGGUGAGUAACACGUGAGUAACCUGCCCUGGACUCUGGGAUAAGCGUUGGAAACGCCGUCGAAUACCGCAUAGGACCUUUGGUCGCAUGAUCUGGGGUGGAAAGUUUUUUCGGUCUGGGUUGGACUCGCGGCCUAUCAGCUUGUUGGUGAGGUAAUGGCUCACCAAGGCUUCGACGGGUAGCCGGCCUGAGAGGGUGACCGGCCACACUGGGACUGAGACACGGACGAGACUGCUACGGGAGGCAGCAGAGGGGAAUAUGGCACAAUGGGCGAAAGCCUGAUGCAGAAACGCCGCGUGCGGGAGGACGGCCUUCGGGUUGUAAACCGAUUUUAGUAGGGAAGAAGGGCUUCGGCUUGACGGUACCUGCAGAAAAAGGACCGGCUAACUACGUG
rnacentral:rRNA from 1 species